rnacentral:rRNA from 1 species
GCAUAUCAAUAAGCGGAGGAAAAGAAACCAACAGGGAUUGCCCUAGUAACGGCGAGUGAAGCGGCAACAGCUCAAAUUUGAAAUCUGGCGCAAGCCCGAGUUGUAAUUUGUAGAGGAUGCUUCUGGGUAGCGACCGAUCUAAGUUCCUUGGAACAGGACGUCAUAGAGGGUGAGAAUCCCGUAUGUGACCGGCCCGCACCCUUUACGUAGCUCCUUCGACGAGUCGAGUUGUUUGGGAAUGCAGCUCUAAAUGGGAGGUAAAUUUCUUCUAAAGCUAAAUACCGGCCAGAGACCGAUAGCGCACAAGUAGAGUGAUCGAAAGAUGAAAAGUACUUUGGAAAGAGAGUUAAAAAGCACGUGAAAUUGUUGAAAGGGAAGCGCCUGCAACCAGACUUCGCGGCAGUGUUCCGCCGGUCUUCUGACCGGUUCAUUCUCUGUCGCGAGGCCAUCAUCGUCUGGGCCCGCCGGAUAAGACCUUAGGAAUGUAGCUCACCUUCGGGGGAGUGUUAUAGCCUAGGGUGAUGCGGCGAGGCUCGGGCGAGGUCCGCGCUUCGGCAAGGAUGAUGGCGUAAUGGUUGUCGGCGGCCCGUCUUGAAACACGGACCAAGGAGUCUAACAUCUAUGCGAGUGUUCGGGUGUCAAACCCCUACGCGUAAUGAAAGUGAACGGAGGUGGGAACCGCAAGGUGCACCAUCGACCGAUCCUGAUGUCCUCGGAUGGAUUUGAGUAAGAGCAUAGCUGUUGGGACCCGAAAGAUGGUGAACUAUGCCUGAAUAGGGUGAAGCCAGAGGAAACUCUGGUGGAGGCUCGCAGCGGUUCUGACGUGCAAAUCGAUCGUCAAAUUUGGGUAUA